rnacentral:rRNA from 1 species
UGAGGAAUAUUGGUCAAUGGGCGAGAGCCUGAACCAGCCAAGUCGCGUGAAGGAAGACUGCCUUAUGGGUUGUAAACUUCUUUUAUACAGGAAUAAAAAGGCUUACGUGUAGGCCAUUGCAAGUACUGUAUGAAUAAGCAUCGGCUAACUCCGUGCCAGCAGCCGCGGUAAUACGGAGGAUGCGAGCGUUAUCCGGAUUUAUUGGGUUUAAAGGGUGCGCAGGCGGGCUUUUAAGUCAGCGGUGAAAUCUGGACGCUUAACGUCCAAACUGCCGUUGAAACUGGGAGUCUUGAGUAUGGAUGAAGUAGGCGGAAUUCGUUGUGUAGCGGUGACAUGCAUAGAUAUAACGAGGAACUCCGAUUGCGUAGGCAGCUUACUAAGCCAUAACUGACGCUCAUGCACGAAAGCGUGGGGAUCAAACAGGAUUAGAUACCCUGGUAGUCCACGCCGUAAAACGAUGAUUACUAGUUGUAUGCGAUAUGAUAGUAUGUGACUAAGCGAAAGCGAUAAGUAAUCCACCUGGGGAGUACGCCGGCAACGGUGAAACUCAAAUGAAUUGAC